rnacentral:rRNA from 1 species
AUUGAACGCUGGCGGCAGGCCUAACACAUGCAAGUCGAACGAGUGGCGGACGGGUGAGUAAUGUCUGGGAAACUGCCUGCUGGCGGGGGAUAACUACUGGAAACGGUAGAUAAUACCGCAUACCAUCAGAUGUGCCCAGAUGGGAUUAGCUUGGUGGUGGGGUAACGGCGCACCAAGGCGACGAUCCCUAGCUGGUCUGAGAGGAUGACCAGCAACACUGGAACGGAGACACGGUCCAGAAUCAGAAGGGAGGCAGCAGGGGGGAAUAUUGCACAAUGGGCGCAAGCCUGAUGCAGCCAUGCCGCGGGUAUGAAGAAGGCCAUCGGGUGGUAAAGUACUUUCAGCGGGGAGGCGUUACCCGCAGAAGAAGCACCGGCUAACUCCGUGCCAGCAGCCGCGGUAAUAC